AACGAACGCUGGCGGCAUGCCUAACACAUGCCAGUCGAACGAGACCUUCGGGUCUAGUGGCGCACGGGUGCGUAACGCGUGGGAACCUGCCCUUAGGUUCGGAAUAACUCCCCGAAAGGGGUGCUAAUGCCGGAUAAUGUCUUCGGACCAAAGAUUUAUCGCCUUUGGAUGGGCCCGCGUUGGAUUAGCUAGUUGGUAGGGUAAAAGCCUACCAAGGCGACGAUCCAUAGCUGGUCUGAGAGGAUGAUCAGCCACACUGGGACUGAGACACGGCCCAGACUCCUACGGGAGGCAGCAGUGGGGAAUAUUGGACAAUGGGCGAAAGCCUGAUCCAGCAAUGCCGCGUGAGUGAUGAAGGCCUUAGGGUUGUAAAGCUCUUUUACCCGGGAUGAUAAUGACAGUACCGGGAGAAUAAGCUCCGGCUAACUCCGUG
rnacentral:rRNA from 1 species